CAUUUCUUCCUCCCUCUUGAGUCUCCUCCUAUCCACCUCUAGCCUCGCGCGACCUGCCCACGCUCGCCGGCCAUGCCGCCGCCACUCUCCUUCCUCCACCCACCGCCCAACCCGCCAGUCCUCCACCCCUCCCCCUUCCACCACCGCGCCCCCCACCGCCUCUCCCUCCGCGCCGAUCCCCCACUCCGAGCGGCGGCGGCGACGGCGGCAGCGGCCGAGAACCCGUACUCGGCGGCGCCCACUGCGGCGGACGUCGAGAUGUUCCGCGGCGGGGACGGCGUCUGGACGGCGCGGAGCCCGACGGUGGUGGUGCUGUGGGACCUCGACAACAAGCCCCCGCGCGGGCCGCCCUUCGAGGCGGCCACCUCCCUCCGCGAGGCGGCGUCCCUCCUCGGCCGCGUCGACUCCGUCUCCGCCUUCGCCAACCGCCACGCCUUCACCCACCUCCCCGCCUGGGUCUCCGCCGACCGCCGCGAGCGCCGCGCCCUCGACCGCGCCGAGCGCACGGGCGCCGCCGCCCCGCCCGUCCCCUACUCCUGCGCCGUCUGCGGCCGCCGCUUCCCCACCCGCCCCGACCUCGCCCGCCACUUCCGCCAGCUCCACGAGCGCGAGCGCAACAAGAAGCUCGGCCGCCUCCGCUCCCUCAAGGGCAAGAAGCGCCAGAAGUUCCGCGAGCGCUACAUCUCCAACAACACCAAGUACCAGGACGCCGCGCGGGAGCUCCUCACCCCCAAGGUCGGCUACGGGCUCGAUUCCGAGCUCCGGCGCGCCGGCGUCCAUGUCCGCACCGUCCCUGACAAGCCGCAGGCUGCCGACCAGGCGCUCAAACGCCAGGUGAAGCACGCCAUCGCCUGCGGCGUCGACUGGGUCGUGCUCGUCUCCGAUGACUCCGACUUCACCGACACGGUGCGUAAUGCACGCGCUGCCGCCCUGAGGAUGGUCGUGGUUGGGGACGGGUGCCGCGCUCUCGGGAAGGUUGCUGAUAUCUGGCUGCCUUGGGACAGCGUGCAAAACGGGGAGGUUGAUGAGGAGAUGAUGCGGAGUGGGAAGGUUCCAGAGUUUAGAUACGAAGAGCACGAUGAGCAAUAUGAUGAUGAUGAGUUUAUAGUGGAUUGGGAUACGAAUGAAUUGGAUGAUGUUGUUGAUGACAUUGUUACAAGCAGGACCAAAGUUUUUGGUUCUACAACAAUGUCUGCAUUUGCCGAAGAGGACAUUGUUGAUGGUAUAUUGGGGCUUAGACAUAAGGAGGAUGACAUGCUUUGGAGUAGCGACGACGAGGAUGAGGACGGUUAUUUGUGAGAUUUACAUGGAUUGGCAGCUUUGCAGAACUAUUAUGCGAGGGCAAGGCUGUCUAGAAAUUCCCUUCCCCAGACCCCACCUUGUGCGGGAGCUUUCAGCACUGGAUGCACCACAGGUAGUAUCUGCAUUUUCCGAAGAGGACACUGUUGAUGUUAUGUUGGGGCUUCGACUGAAGGAGCACGACAUGCUCUGGAGUAGUGACGUCUAGGAUGAGGACAGUUAUUUGUGAGAUUCACAUGGAUUGGCAGAUAUGUGUAUGACCAAGUAGUUAAGUCAUUAUCAGCAAUUCGGUUGCACUGCUCAAUUUCACCAACUUGGCGACACCUCAAUUCUCAGAACUGCUAGGCAGCAGAUUUUGUGAGGCGCUAGGAGGGGCCUGGCGGAGUGGUGAAGUACUCCCCACUUGUGCCAAGAGGCAAGAGGUCCUGGUUUCGACGCCGCCUCUCUGCAUUGCAGGUUGCAGGGGUAAGGCUUGCUUCGUAUUAUCCUUCCCCAGACCCAACCUGGUGUGGGAGCUUCUAGCACUGGGACUGUCCUUUUUGGAGGGAACUCUCGAUACCACAAUCAUCAACAAGACAGUACCACUGGCAUGUGUCCUUGAAUUAUUGACACUUCAACAGCAGUCUGACUUCUGAACUAACUUUAGUACCUCAAACUUGAUUGCUUUCCUCAGUACUGGUCUGCACGCAGGUAUCUCUUGUUUCUUAAGUUCAGUUGUUGGCACUUUGAUUUUUCCUGUUUGGUCUCGGACGAUCAUUCAUCCACCUUAAUUAAAAUAAAGAGACCAUCAUCACCAACCUUCUUCAGGUGAUAUUCUUUCUUUGGCAAGUAAACAGUACUUGUAACUUAAGCCCUAGCUAAUCUGCUGAACAGAACACCGUGUCCUUUUUUUUGUCAGUUCCAUCUUGCCAUCUCCAUAAGCAAACCUGUCUGUUCAUCACAUUUCAUGGAGACCCUCCUCUAUGAUCAUCAGUUGGAAAAGGCAGUCGGGUGUUUGGGGUACUAUAGGUGAUCAAGUGGUGCUAUCAUAUUACAGGGGGCUUUACACAAAGUUGCGUUACAAUUAAUACGUGUCUUCGAGAUUUCCUGUGAGCACAGACACCGCAAGUCAUUCAGUCUUAUGGUUCUUCAUUAUCUACAUAUGGUCUUUUUUUUCUUAGGUGCUCUUUUGUCUGGGCCUUCAGUUUAUGUUUUUAUUUGGCAGCUGUGUUUAUCGCAUACUGAGCUUAGGAGCACGUGCAUUGUUCAGCGGCUGUUCAAAUUCUUCGAUGUCUUAUGUUCAAGAAGUUUCAAAUACCAUUUGAGAAACAGAUAGUUGGUUCCCAAAAGACCACCGAAUUCAGAUCAGCAGAACAAACAGCCAUCGCCUGACAUUCAUGAUGCAAUUUGUGGAUAGCAAUCACCCCGCUAAUGCAGUAGCUGGAAGCGAAAGAGAGAGCUUCAUAGUUGGAGAAAAUCUUAACCAGGACACAAGUGCACCCUCGAGGCAGUCUGAAGGAACAGAAAACAGUGUACACGUGGAUGGUGGGCUGGCCUCGGUUGCAAAGAUGCUACUUGAAGAGUGUCUGAAGGCUUGCAAUGGCAUGCCCUUCAAGGGGUGGGUGGCAAUGUGGCAUGCUGUGGUGUGAACAUUUUCUAAAAUUGUGGAUGCACUGUCAUGAAUGUGUGCCUUGAAGAUUAACCUGAAACUGUUAAUGCCGUGGGUCAAAGACAAGCUGACUGCCUGCGUGCUGUUUACAGACAUGCUCUAUGUUCUCUCUGUUCUUUCUGCAUUAUACAUGUGCUGUAAGUUUCUGAGGAAAGAUGUAUACGCAGUUGCUUUUUUUCCGGCGGGGGGGUA